GGAGGAUGUGGAUGUGGGGGGCGUGGGUCCCUAGCGGGAAGUUAUGUUAGUACCUGAGAGAAGGAGCCGCUGAUGGCUGCAGGAGGGUUCAAGGCAGGGCCCGUGUCAGUGAGGAGGUGCCCAUACGCUCACACGACGGCCGCCUACGGUGUGGAGAGGUGCCCACCAAGGGUACAGAACCAAUGCCGGUGACGGCAGCAGGUGGCAGAAGGGGCCUUCCGCCCAGGACAACCACAGUGGAUUAAGGAGCAGGCACCACCUUUAUUUGGGGGGACCACACACACUUCCCUUUCAAGUGCCAGUCCCUUGAAGGAGGGGAAAGAGCCAGGCUUGGGUGGGGGGAGGGAGGGAGGAGUAAGUGCUCAGCUGGAUAGGAGUCGAUGGGGAAGAAACAAAGACGUGUGUCGCUGCCUACGUCUUUAACAAGUGCCUUGGAACGCAUCCAGCCGUCACAAUUGUCCAAAUUUUACUCCAAAUCCAAUCUGUGACUCCUAUUGUCUUCUUCCACUGGGGGACACUUAGAAAGACGUAACAGAUGGCUGUGUGUGGCAAUAGUGUUCCUUCCCCACUGCCAGGAGUGAGUUGUUUUUUUUUUUUUUCCCAUCGGUGCCUUUCUCUUUCAUCCAAAAAAUAAUUUUUCUUCAUAUCAAAAGCAAUACAUUGUUUUGAUAUCAUAGAAAAGCAUAAAGAAGAAAAUUUAAAUCUCCCAUAAUGCUACCAGCCCAGAGACAACCACUGCUAAAAUUUUACUGCACUUCCUGCCCGGUUUCUCACCCAUGCAUGGGUUAGUGUCUUUGGCCAGGUACGUACGUCUUUCAGGUCCCGCUGCCCAGAUGCGCUGAUGAGCCUAUACUAAACUUUUCUGAUUCCAGGCCCUUCAUGCAGUAGCAGACAAAGCUGGGGGGGGGGGGACAGUGUGGGACAUGAGUCAGAGAGAAAACUAAUCCACCCAUAAGGGACUUAAAUACCAUCUUCUCAGCAGAUUCCUGAUCAGCCACAGACCUGAUCGGACCAUAAGCAGUUUAGAUUACAUUCAGCUGGUUCCAAAUGUUUGUUGGAACUGGUGUCGUAUUUAUCCAUAAAAACAAAAUUAUAAAUGGUGGUUGGAUUUGCAGGCCAUAAAGCUCAAGAUGACCAGCGGUGGAACCGAGAGAUCGUUGAUGACUGUUCUGAUCACAGAUUCCUCUUAAGCCCUUCUGAAAUCGUCCCUCGGAGACCUGAAUCCCGGAUGUCCGAGUCUUGACCAGUCCCCUUGUCUACCCUAAAUUUUCAGAGGGUAGGAGGACUCAGGUGGGAGAGUCACAGCGUCAUUCACAAGUCCAGCACUGCUAAUCAGAGAGUCGGUAUUGAAACCGUGGGCUUUGGAGACAGCCCUGCCUGGGUUCAAAUCCCAGUGCUGCCUGGAAUUAGUUAUGUGAGUCUGGGACGCUCGCUUAACCUCUGAGUCUAUUUUCUCGCCUAUAAAGUGGGAAUCAUAAUGCAUAUUCCUAAGGAUUUCUGUGAAGGUUAGAGAAGAUAGGACGUGAUUUCUUGGACUCGAAAAUGACAAUAUCCCACAGAUUCCCACCGUUGAUUUAAAUUACUGAAAUGAGGACCUUUCUCAAAUAUCGAUAAAUACACUCUUUACAACUAUACGACCAAAGGCAAGAGUACAAGUCGAGAAAAACCAACAAAACUAAAGCUGGCUCCUGGGAUUAAUGCUGUUAUUUUGCUGAAAUUAAUUCGGCUUCUUGAAACACCAGUUUUUAGGACGGGGUUCUUUUGAGCCGGGCAUCCCGAACCCAGCAUGUGCCGCGCGAUGGUUCAACUUGCUGACAACCUUUCUCGGGUCUGGACAUUGUAACCUGGAGGGCUGUAGGCUACGUGUGGCCCGUGGGUGGACGUGUUUCACCUGACCCUCAUAGGAUUCAUUUUUUCCAAUUAGCUGCUGUUAUAAAAGAAUGAAGACAUUACACCUAAAAUGCGCUGUUCCCGCUCCUCUUGAAAGGCUGGAAGAGGGGCGCCUGGGUGGCUCAGUCGGUUAAGCAUCCGACUUCAGCUCAGGUCACGAUCUCGCAGUCUGAGAGUUCGAGCCCCGCGUCGGGCUCUGGCCUGAUGGCUCAGAGCCUGGAGCCUGCUUCCGAUUCUGUGUCUCCCUCUCUCUCUGCCCCUCCCCCGUUCAUGCUCUGUCUCUCUCUGUCAAAAAUAAAUAAAAUGUUAAAAAAAAAAAAAAAGAAAGGCUGGAAGAGCCAGUGCCGCAGGACCGCAGGGUCAGGGGGUGAAUGGCAGUCCCCUGUCACCUGAGCUGGGCUUCCCAACUCCACUCUCCUGGCUCUUCUCACGUGCGUAAGCUGCCAGCCUCUGUGGGAUUUGCUCUGGGACCUCUUCCUCUGUGACUUACACCUGUUCCUCAGCAGCCCGUGACGGCCAAACAGCAUUUCAAGACACCCCCAAAAGGUAAGAAACGCAAGAGCAAAAAAACUUCUGCUGAAAUUGUGAGCAGCAUUCAGUUCUCCCGUGUCCAUCCAGAUGACCCGGACGAGUUUGUUUGCCUACAUGUGCUUGAAGGUUUUUAUUGAAGCGCAAAGACAAAAUGUUGAAAUCCUCCUAAGCUAUCCUUCAUUCCUCCAGGAUCCCCGAACCCCCAGUUUGAGGGCCGAUUCCCUCUCAGAGUCCGUAGGAGGAACCAAUGCUGCUGACACCUUGAUUUCAGACUUCCAGCCUCCAGCACCUUGAGAGCAUACAUUUCGGUUGUUUUAAGCCACCCAGUCUGGAGUAGUUUGUUAGGGCAGCCUUAGGGAGCUAAGAUAGUCACCUUGCAUAGAAUCGGACCCCAGGAGAGAAUGAACCGGACGUGACUAUCUUUGAAGGGAAAGAAACUGAAAGGGGGAAUAGUACCAGUCCAAAAAUGCAGUAGGUGGUUCCCCAUCCCUCGCCUCUGGCGGACACGCGGGUGGAUUAUGGACCAUUCUCCCCCACGCCGCCACCAUCAUCAGACCCCUGCCCUCUUCUGUCUGCGGCUUCUUCAAGGUAUACUUUCCACUGCCUUGCACCUCCUUAAUCUCCAGUCUUCUCUCUCUACGUUUGUAGUGAGGGCUGGGUAGAACAGAACACCAGAACAGGUGCAUGGCAGGGAGAGACGGAUGAGAAGCAGGGUCCAGCUCGGGGGUGGGGGUAAGAGAUGGCUGCUGGGAGGAAGGCCAACGCAGCCAGGAAGCGCACCGCAUCUAAUACACAUUCUGUCCACAAUUGGAACCAGGCAGACCCCGAGAGACAGCAUCUGAAGACAAUGCCGGAAGUAUCUCAGAGAGAAGUCUUUGUUCUGGCCUCGCCAGUACAAAACAAAACUGUUUUUUUUCUUUUCAGGCAAAAAGACACCUAAAUAGCACUCCAGUCUUCAACAGAGCUGGGUGCAGGAACAAACCACCAGUUCAUGCAGUGUGAGUUUUUAAGGGUAUUUACACAAGAGAAAUGAAAACGAAUGCCCACACAAAGACCAGUACACAAAUGUUCAGAGCAGUCUUAUUCAUAUGAGCUAAAAACUGGAAACAACACAAAUGUCCAUCAGUGGGUGAGUGGAUAAAGAGGGCAUAUCUAUGAAGCAGAACACUGCUAGCAAUAAAAAGGAACACGCUGCUGAUAUCCAUCAUUACACUGAGUCAAAGAAGCCAGAAGCAAAAGGGUACAUAUUAUAUAAUGCCAUUUAUAUAAAAUUCUAGAAAAUGUAAAUUAAUCUGUGUGGUGACGAGACAGAUCAGCAAUGUGGAUCCCAGGGGUGGAGGAGGAAAUUACCACAUGGGGCAUAAGGAGACUUUGGGGGGCAAUGGAAAUGUUCUAUGUCUUAAUCGUGGAAUUGAUUUCACACAUGUGUAUUCCUAUUAAGAGUCAUCAAAGCGCA